rnacentral:rRNA from 1 species
CGUGUAGGCGGUUUGGUAAGUCGAGGGUGAAAGCCCUGGGUUCAACCCAGGAGGGUCCUUCGAAACUGCCAAACUAGAGUCCGGGAGAGGUGGGUGGAAUUCCCGGUGGAGCGGUGGAAUGCGCAGAUAUCGGGAGGAACACCGGUGGCGAAGGCGGCCCACUGGAACGGAACUGACGCUGAGACGCGAAAGCGUGGGGAGCAAACA